CCUACGGGUGGCAGCAGUGGGGGAUAUUGCACAAUGGGGGAAACCCUGAUGUAGCGACGCCGCGUGUGGGAAGACGGUCCUCUGGAUUGUAAACCACUGUCCCCAGGGACGAAGAUGACGGUACCUGGGGAGGAAGCUCCGGCUAACUACGUUCCAGCAGCCGCGGUAAUACGUAGGGAGCGAGCGUUGUCCGGAAUUACUGGGUGAAAAGGGAGCGUAGGCGGGACUGCAAGUUGGGUGUCAAAUCUACCGGCUCAACCGGUAGCCGCACUCAAAACUGCAGUUCUUGAGUGAAGUAGAGGCAGGCGGAAUUCCUAGUGUAGCGGUGAAAUGCGUAGAUAUUAGGAGGAACACCAGUGGCGAAGGCGGCCUGCUGGGCUUUUACUGACGCUGAGGCUCGAAAGUGUGGGGAGCAAACAGGAUUAGAUACCCCAGUAGUC
rnacentral:rRNA from 1 species